rnacentral:rRNA from 1 species
GAUGAACGCUGGCGGCAUGCUUAACACAUGCCAGUCGAACGGGAAGUGGUGUUUCCAGUGGCGAACGGGUGAGUAACGCGUAAGAACCUGCCCUUGGGAGGGGAACAACAACUGGAAACGGUUGCUAAUACCCCGUAGGCUGAGGAGCAAAAGGAGAAAUCCGCCCAAGGAGGGGCUCGCGUCUGAUUAGCUAGUUGGUGAGGUAAUAGCUUACCAAGGCGAUGAUCAGUAGCUGGUCUGAGAGGAUGAUCAGCCACACUGGGACUGAGACACGGCCCAGACUCCUACGGGAGGCAGCAGUGGGGAAUUUUCCGCAAUGGGCGAAAGCCUGACGGAGCAAUGCCGCGUGGAGGUGGAAGGCCUACGGGUCGUCAACUUCUUUUCUCGGAGAAGAAACAAUGACGGUAUCUGAGGAAUAAGCAUCGGCUAACUCUGU